UUAUCCAUAUGUCUUUUCCCUUGGUACUCCUCCCUUUUUUCAUAAGCAUACAAUAUUUCAUUAAAGUCCCCACAAAUCAUCCAUGGAUAGUUUUGAUCCCUUCCUCUUUACUACCAAUAUUGGGUGCCCCAUAAAACCCUGUCAUCCUCCAUUAAGGACUUUUUCCCUCUUCUUCAAUGAUCAUAUCAAUAUGAUUCUUUGAAUAGCUUCGAAGUUGAACCGUGAUGUCUUCUUUCCAAGCUAAACAUAGACCCUUUAACGUUCCUUUAGUUAGAAACACAAUACCAUUUUGAAACCUACAUCUUCUAUGAAACUUUUCCACCCGAGAGCUAUUUAACUUUUCCAACUUAAGAGUUUUAUUGCUCCCGGUCGGCUUGUCUAUUGGUAGUCGCCGAUCUUUGUUGUACUCGAGCGAUAAGUCACUCAUCUGUGGACCUUAACGAAUCUGCAGAAACAACAACGCUAAAAUCUAUAUAUUCAGACCUGGGCCUUUUCUUCCCAUCCCCACUAGAGGAUUCUGCCUUAAUAUUAUCAACUUGAUUUUUGAAUCCUUCCAAAUUAAAUCUCAAUAUUGGAUUUAUCGAUUUCCUCGAUUCUCUACUCAACACAUCCCUUAAAUUCCACCCCAUAUCACACUUUCCCCAAUUUGCAUUUCUUCCCCACAAAGCCAAACAUUAUUAUCUGUUGUAGCUCUUCUUGUUGAAAGUAUUAUAAGGGGAGGACCGUCCUAAAAUGAACUGAGUGUAAAAGAUCUGUUCCAAUUCUUCAAUAAAGUCGCGCCAAAAAUCUACAGGAGAAUUAGAAGCCACAAUGACGAAACGCCGAAUCUCUAAUUCUGAAUCAGAAGAAAGUGGAAGUGAAGAGAUGUUAAGCGAAGAAGAAGAAGAUGAUGAUAAUGAAGUAAUCCUCAAGCAGGAACAGCAAGGUAUAUCCGAAUACGAGAAGCAGAGGCUAGCGAGAAUUGCAGAGAACAGAGCCAGAAUGGAGGCUUUGGGUCUGCCCAAAAUUGCCUCUUCUUUGAUGGGUUCGUCGCCAAAUACAAGUCGAACUUCGAGCAAGAUUAAAGGGAAACGCAAGGUCAUUGAUGACGAUGAAGAUUACAGGCCCAAUGAUAAUGAGGAUGACCACGACGAAGACGAUGAUGAUAAACUUGAUGGUGAUGAUGAGGAGGAGUUUCUGGGUAGUAAAACGCCUCAAACUCAAUCUCGUAAAAACAAGGUGAAAAAUAAAGGCUCAAAAUCUAAGAAGAAAGCUUCCGUUCAAAAACAUUUGAGUAGUUCAGAUUACAUUGACGAUGGUGAUGAUGAAUUAAUGAAGGCAAUUGCUCUGUCCCUUAAAGAUUCUGGAGAAGUUUUAGGUGCUGUACCUACAGAUGUGCAAGAUGCUACUUUCACUGAAAGCAAGGGGAACGCUCGAUCAAAGAGGAAAAAAUCGUUCACCAGCCGCGUGCAGAUGACUGAGGAUGAAAUGGUCGUGCACUUCUUUCACUUUGAUGCAUUGUUGGCUAUCAGAAGCUGGAAAAGGAAGCAUUUCUAUGAGAGAUUUACGAAGAGUAGCUAUUGCACAUGAUUUUAUGUGGACAGAUAAGGACUUGGCUGAGAUGAUCCAAUGCUUUGAUACCGAUGGCGAUGGGAAGAUCUUGAUGAUUUCCGGAAAAUUGUCAGCAGGUGUAACAUGUUACGAACAUCUGACAAUUCUUAAAUAGGAUUCAAGCUUAUUCUGUUAUAAGAUGUACCCUUAUUUUGUUAUAAGAUGUACCUUUGUGAACGGAUUAGAAUCGUGUAAUCAAGACUCGGUGCUCCUUCCUUUUAUUCUACAAGUUAAAUGCUUCCAACUACAAA